GACCAGAGGAUGGUUUUAACACUGAUUGCUAAUUAGCACUUUGUGAAGGUAGUUUCUUGACUUCCCCUUAUAAUGGAGGAUGUUGUAAGUUAACGUUUAAAUCCAGUGUAACUGGCCUCAAAGAUUCAUCUGCAGAAGCCCUGAAGGUAGCUUAUCAUCAGAGCAAACUAAAACUGUAAAGCAUAGGUAUAUCCCAUUAAAAUCAAGUAGUAUCUUUAAAAUUCUUAAUUAUGUCCUGUCUGAGUGGGCAAAAGUUCUUACCUGGAGGAUCUCCUGCUUUGUAGAGCAGGCUGAGAAGCAGUUGUGCUAGGAGUGUGAUCGUGCAUCAUGUCCAGCGUGCCUGUGGGUCUCUUCUACUGCUGGCUGAAGGUUCAACCCUUUGGAUAAAGGAAACAUGGCUUUAAAACUGAGGAUCCUGAACCUUUCUGGAGUGGAUUUACAGCAGAAGUAACGGACAGACCCUUCUGCCCAUCCUCUUGGGGUUGGCACCCAGCAGCAGUGUUGCUCCUCUCAGGGGUUCACACAGCUCAGAGGCAUUGGUGAAUACUCUGCUAUCAACAAUCAAGUGUCUGGAUUUGAACAACCGAAAAUUCAGGGAAACUUCUUAUAGCAAACAGCAAGUGCUUGAGAAGCAUGCAUUCCUGGCUUGUGUCAGCACCAGUGCGGCCAGCAGGAGCAGGAGGGAAUUGUCCCUCUGCAGUCAGCACUGAUUCUAUGACUCUGUGAAAAGCAGAGGCUCAGGUGAUAAUGUGCCUCCUGAUGCUGGAGCUCUGAGGAAGAAAACCAACCAUCUCUAUCCUAGGAGCACCCAGCUACAUGAGCACACAUGGAGUGGUUCUAAUGCCUCUAAAGUUAAGCUUAGAUUAAUUACUAAUCUGAAUCACAUCAAUGUUUUCUGUACUGACUCUCUGGUUCAAAGGGAAGGAGAUGUUUUCCAUCAGACAUCUGUACGUGAUUUCUUUCCACCCUGAAGACAUAAAGAUGUGUAGAGGACCAUUAAUAGGAAUGGAUGUGCUUGAGGAGAAGGAACAAGCAGCUGGAGAAGGAGAUGUGAACAGACUGACCUGCUUCAGACUUGUCAUCAGGUUGUUUGUUCUGGUCACUACGACUGUCACAGGGAAUACAAGACCAUGGAUGGCCAUGGCUGCACGUGACUGGGAUAGUCAGAUAGGAAACCAACCUUUGCAAAUUCCCAUCACAGAUGACGAUGAUGAUUGCUAUUAGUGAUCAUGGUCCUGUUUUGCUUAUAUUCCUCUAGGAAUAUUUGCAUUAUACAUUAAGAUUGUAUUUCUUACAAUCUUAAUGUAUAAUGAAAAAAAAAAAAGAAGAAAAGUUGGGAAAAGGUAAUGACAGGUCAUUAACAACAUUAAUAAGUUGGGAUUAGAUGUGUGUUCCUAAGCUUAUGCUGAUGUACCACAAUGAUUCCUUUUGACUUCAGUGGUAUUUUCUUCAGAGCCUUAUAUCCCUAGGUGGAUCCACAUACGUCUGAGUAUCUGAAUGAUAAUAGCUAAUAAUAACCAAAAAGAAUGUCUAUUAAAAAAUAAGGAAAAGCAGCUCAUUGUGUGCACCCUUCAUCAGGUAUUAUUAGAAUAUGCCAUUGAUAAUGCAAGAAAAGAUCUUCAGCUACAGAAGAGAUGAAAUACUGUGAUGUGAAAAGGAUAAGCAUAAUAGCAGUGUGCUGGAGCCUGGUACCACACCACAGUAGCACCUGGAAACUGGCUCUGCUGUAAGACUACAGAAAGCAGCAGUGGUGCCACCUGAAGGGAUUCGCUUGUGCCUGGACCUUGUAUGACUUGCUUUAUCAUUUUCUUUUCUUGAAAGUAAGUACUAGCCAUGGCAGGACCCAGAGCUUAGAGACAGACAUUUCUGGAGCCUUAACCAGUCAUUUCCAGCAGUGUUUUGUGAGGCAGUAGCUGUACUGAUCUUUGUUCAGCAGAAAGGGAGGAGGCUGUUGGCAGGUCACUUGGCAGUCACCAGCAGCUACCAUCCAACCAGCACCAAGCGGGCAACAAAUGAGCAGAUGCACCAUAGAAUCAUUACGUUUGGAAAAGACCACUAAGAUCAUCUAGCCCUACCAUCAACCCAUUGCCACCAUGGCCACUAAACCUUGUCCCUCACCGUAACGCACCCAGUCGCAAGAAAUGGAUAGUUCUUAACACCUUCCAUCAGAUUAACAACUGGGACCAUGCAAAACAGGGAUUUACAGUCCGUAAGUGCACACAUACAUCAUUCCAAAACACAGGCCAAAGCCUGACAUUUCCUCAGUCCCUGUGGUUUUUAUCCAGAUCCUGGGAAGCCACCCUUCAGAUUGCUGUGCUACACACUGAUGAGUCAAUCUGUUGCAUUGGAUGUCUUCAGAGAAGGACGGAAAUAAUGAUCCUACUGUCCUGGGAAGAGCUGGAGAGGAAAUGUCAGCCAACGGCAUAUGCAAGUUCACCACGGCAACACCUCUGGAGCACUCGGUAAUGGAGAUGGAGAAAACAUGAAGCUUGGAAAGAAAAGUCUCUCUGAAUAACUAAUACUAAUGUGGAGGAUAAAGAAAUCAGAGUGAUCCUUGUUCAGGAAAGGACCAAUGUGAGAAGUGUGUAUGGUGGUGGAAAAGAAGAUCUGCUUGCAUUGAUAUUGCUGAAAGACAAGGAGUUGUCUCUUGAAUUUUCUCUAGGGAGUUUUUUUUUCUGUAUAUUCUCGUGUGCAGAUAAAAGAAUAAACAAGGUCAAGAAGAUGAUGAACUUAUUCUAAGUGUACCUUGCAUCCCAACAGGUUCUUCUUUCUUACAUAUUAUGCCCAACAGGAGAACAUGUUGAUUUUCAGGCUUUCACUAACUUCUUUUCCAAGGCUGACCGUACUUGGAUAUUGUCAACAGGGGAAGUUUGUAUUCUCUGGAGAGUUUAUAUCAAAUUUUGCACUGGCAGUCACUGGGAGGAGGUUCAAGGAGAGCAAACACACCACAUAUAUAGCACUAUUACUGAGCCUAUCCAGGCACUUAAAUGGCUUCUUCUGUGUGAGGCCCCUUACAGUGCAGAUAUUCUUAUCUCACAGCACUCUGAUAUAUGUCUCUGUGCUAUUAACA